GAUGAACGCUAGCGAUAGGCUUAACACAUGCAAGUCGAGGGGCAGCAUGGUCUUAGCUUGCUAAGACUGAUGGCGACCGGCGCACGGGUGCGUAACGCGUAUGCAACUUGCCUCACAGAGGGGGAUAACCCGUCGAAAGACGGACUAAUACCGCGUACACUUGGGAUAGGGCAUCCUGACCCAAGGAAAUGAAAUUCGCUGUGAGAUAGGCAUGCGUCCCAUUAGCUAGUUGGUGAGGUAACGGCUCACCAAGGCGACGAUGGGUAGGGGAACUGAGAGGUUGAACCCCCACACUGGUACUGGGACACGGACCAGACUCCUACGGGAGGCAGCAGUGAGGAAUAUUGGUCAAUGGGCGAGAGCCUGAACCAGCCAAGUCGCGUGAAGGAUGACUGUCUUAUGGAUUGUAAACUUCUUUUAGACGGGAAUAACAGGAGCCACGUGUGGCUCCCUGCAUGUACCGUAUGAAUAAGCAUCGGCUAACUCCGUG
rnacentral:rRNA from 1 species